GACGAACGCUGGCGGCGUGCCUAACACAUGCAAGUCGAGCGGAGUCGAUCGACGGAAGCCUUCGGGCGGAAGAUGGUUGACUUAGCGGCGGAUGGGUGAGUAACGCGUGGGCAACCUGCCUCGAAGACCGGGAUAACAGCCCGAAAGGGCUGCUAAUACCGGAUGUGGUCAAGGAUCCGCAUGGAUUUUUGAUUAAAGGGGAAACCCGUUUCGAGAUGGGCCCGCGUCCUAUCAGCUAGUUGGUGAGGUAAAAGCUCACCAAGGCGACGACGGGUAGCCGGCCUGAGAGGGUGACCGGCCACACUGGAACUGAGACACGGUCCAGACUCCUACGGGGGCAGCAGUGGGGAAUCUUCCACAAUGGGCGAAAGCCUGAUGGAGCGACGCCGCGUGAGCGAAGAAGGCCUUCGGGUUGUAAAGCUCUGUCUGGAGGGACGAAGGAAGUGACGGUACCUCCGGAGGAAGCCACGGCUAACUACGUGCCAGCAGCCGCGGUAAUCAUACCGUA
rnacentral:rRNA from 1 species